GAUGAACGCUGGCGGCGUGCCUAAUACAUGCAAGUCGAGCGAACAGACGAGGAGCUUGCUCCUCUGACGUUAGCGGCGGACGGGUGAGUAACACGUGGAUAACCUACCUAUAAGACUGGGAUAACUUCGGGAAACCGGAGCUAAUACCGGAUAAUAUAUUGAACCGCAUGGUUCAAUAGUGAAAGACGGUUUUGCUGUCACUUAUAGAUGGAUCCGCGCCGCAUUAGCUAGUUGGUAAGGUAACGGCUUACCAAGGCAACGAUGCGUAGCCGACCUGAGAGAGUGAUCGGCCACACUGGAACUGAGACACGGUCCAGACUCCUACGGGAGGCAGCAGUAGGGAAUCUUCCGCAAUGGGCGAAAGCUUGACGGAGCAACGCCGCGUGAGUGAUGAAGGUCUUCGGAUCGUAAAACUCUGUUAUUAGGGAAGAACAAAUGUGUAAGUAACUAUGCACGUCUUGACGGUACCUAAGCAGAAAGCCACGGCUAACUACGU
rnacentral:rRNA from 1 species